AUUGAACGCUGGCGGCAUGCCUUACACAUGCAAGUCGAACGGCAGCACGGGAGCAAUCCUGGUGGCGAGUGGCGAACGGGUGAGUAAUAUAUCGGAACGUGUCCAGUUGUGGGGGAUAGCCCGGCGAAAGCCGGAUUAAUACCGCAUACGACCUACGGGUGAAAGCGGGGGAUCGCAAGACCUCGCGCUAUUGGAGCGGCCGAUGUCAGAUUAGCUUGUUGGNGGGGUAAAGCCUACCAAGGCGACGAUCUGUAGCUGGUCUGAGAGGACGACCAGCCACACUGGGACUGAGACACGGCCCAGACUCCUACGGGAGGCAGCAGUGGGGAAUUUGGACAAUGGGCGCAAGCCUGAUCCAGCCAUGCCGC
rnacentral:rRNA from 1 species